rnacentral:rRNA from 1 species
CACGUAGUUAGCCGUGACUUUCUGGCGGGGCACCAUCAGUCAGCACCCAUUUCCUGAUGCUGCCUUUUUUCCCCCGCAACAGAGCUUUACGACCCGAAGGCCUUCUUCACUCACGCGGCAUCGCUCGUUCAGGCUUGCGCCCAUUGACGAAAAUUCCCUACUGCUGCCUCCCGCAGGAGUCUGGGCCGUGUCUCAGCCCCAAUGUGGCCGUCCGCCCUCUCAGGCCGGCUAUGCAUCAUCGUCUUGGUGGGCCUUUACCCCGCCAACCAACUAAUGCACCGCAGGUCCAUCCGCGCCCCAUCCCCUAAAGGAUGUUUCACAGAAAGAAGAUGCCUCCUUCCUGUACAGUCGGGAUUUGUUCUCCGUUUCCAGAGCGUAUUCCCGGUGCACGGGCAGGUUCCCUACGUGUUACCUCACCCGUUCGCCACUAGACGACCCGAAGUCUCUCGUUCGACUUGCAUGUAUUAGGCUAUGCCGCCAGGCGUUCAUCCCUGAGCCAGGAUCUAAAA